AACCAAUCAGGCGCCAGUAUUUAUUAAAGGAUGUUUUUAUUAGUUUGUUUCGCUAUUUUUGGGCAGCACAGUUAGCGUUAGCCACGAUACUGAUAUAUUAUCGUCUUAUAAAGUUAAAAUGGUGGACAUUUUAGGAAACAGUUGCUUGUAUAUUACACAUAAACAGCAUUUAUUUGAAGUCGUCUCUGUCCACUAGGUGAAUAUAACGUCCAUUGACUUACACCUUGAGUGACUGAGACCACCCGUACGAAUGUCAUCCGCCAUGGCCUCCUCUAUCCUUGAUGUCAAAGAACGUUUCAAGGGCAGCUGAGAGAGGUGACAGGAAAUGGGAUGAGAGAGUGGGGGGACGACAUGCAGUGAAGGGCCACAGGUUGGACAUGAACCCCGGUCUGCUGCAGCGAGGACAAAGCCUCUGUACACGGGAUGCACUCUCAACAAACUUAGCUAACAGGUGCCCCGAUUCCUUUAUUUUUUUCACCAGUGUUGUUUUGAGUGCAGUUCCCUAAAAAUCAUAUGAUGCUGUUGUGUAACAGAAAAAAGGCUGAGUAAAUCAUUUUCAGCUAAACAGUAAUCACAAGGCACUAACCAGCAAACCUCAUCUGAACUGCUCUGAGUUAUAGUUUGAUAGUGUUCAGCGCUGAAAAGCACCUUUGUCCACCUCCUUAAGUGCUGUAUGUAUCAUAGUUCUUAGGUACUUGUAUAUUUCUACUAUAUACAACUUAAUACUUGGGAAAAAAAAUGUUUUCGAUAUUGCUAGAUACCAGAUUGGACAUACAAUCAUAUCUGGUUAAUAAAAUGUAACACGUUGUUAAAGAAUAAACAACACAUCAGUAUA